rfam:Salmonella enterica subsp. arizonae serovar 62:z4,z23:--, complete genome.
CUUACCGGAGGCGAUAUGGACCCUGAACCCACCCCUCUCCCGCGAUGGAGAGUUUUCCUUUUCCGGUAAGUCUGCCUUUGCUGUCUUACCGGUUUGUAAGACAGUGACACGAU